rnacentral:rRNA from 1 species
CAGUCGAGCGGAACGAGUUGUCUGAACCUUCGGGGAACGAUAACGGCGUCGAGCGGCGGACGGGUGAGUAAUGCCUGGGAAAUUGCCCUGAUGUGGGGGAUAACCAUUGGAAACGAUGGCUAAUACCGCAUAAUAGCUUCGGCUCAAAGAGGGGGACCUUCGGGCCUCUCGCGUCAGGAUAUGCCCAGGUGGGAUUAGCUAGUUGGUGAGGUAAUGGCUCACCAAGGCGACGAUCCCUAGCUGGUCUGAGAGGAUGAUCAGCCACACUGGAACUGAGACACGGUCCAGACUCCUACGGGAGGCAGCAGUGGGGAAUAUUGCACAAUGGGCGCAAGCCUGAUGCAGCCAUGCCGCGUGUAUGAAGAAGGCCUUCGGGUUGUAAAGUACUUUCAGCAGUGAGGAAGGUGGUAGUGUUAAUAGCACUAUCAUUUGACGUUAGCUGCAGAAGAAGCACCGGCUAACUCCGUGCCAG